AGCAGCCGCGGUAAUUCCAGCUCCAAUAGCGUAUAUUAAAGUUGUUGCAGUUAAAAAGCUCGUAGUUGAAUUUCGGGAUUGGCGCAUCGGUCGUGCCUUACGGGGUAUGAACUGGUGCAGUCAAUUUCUCACCUUCUGGAGAACCGCGAUGUCCUUAAUUGGGUGCCGCGGGGAACCAGGACCUUUACUUUAGAAAAAUUAGAGUGUUUAAAGCAGGCUAUUUUUGCUUGAAUACAUUAGCAUGGAAUAAUAAAAUAGGACGGCAUGGUUCUAUUUUGUUGGUUUCUAGGACCACCGUAAUGAUUAAUAGGGAUAGUUGGGGGCAUUAGUAUUCAAUUGUCAGAGGUGAAAUUCUUGGAUUUAUUGAAGACUAACUACUGCGAAAGCAUUUGCCAAGGAUGUUUUCAUUAGUCAAGAACGAAAGUUAGGGGAUCGAAGACGAUCAGAUACCGUCGUAGUCUUAACCAUAAACUAUGCCGAC
rnacentral:rRNA from 1 species